rnacentral:tRNA from 1 species
UCCUCGGUGGUCCAGUGGUUAAGACUCUGCACUAACAAGGCAGGGGAUGCAGGUUCGAUCCCUGGUUCAGGGA